CAGGACUAUGUGAGCACAGAUUUAGGACCUUCCUUGGUUAUAAAAGGAAAAGAGGUUUUCAAGAUCAGCUCCUGUGAUACGUUCACAGUAUGAGUCACCUGGAUUGGGGAAGCUUGAGAUAAAUGAUGGUCCAUUGCCUGGUCAGUCUCCUGUUGUAUCGCCUGCCCUCUUAGGUUCCAUCUCUGCAUCAGUACUAGACCUCCAUGGACAUUAAGCUGGAGAAACCUUUCCAAUCUAGACUUUGGUAGAGCAGCCAGUGGCAAGCAAACAUAGCAUAGUGUUGUUUUCUUCCUGGGACAAAUCCAUAAAUAUUUUCCAAACAGUGGCAUAAAUUUUAGGAAAGAGGUGUAUGCCUCACCCUGUAGUAAAUCCCCAGUCGCUAUUCAAUAUAAUUUUAUGGAGUGAUAAUAAUGUUGAGAUAAGAGAGAAGUUCAACUCCGUACGAUAUAGUGUUCCUGAAUGCUAAGAAAUCUUAUGGCUUUAUGGGGUAAGCACAUGCUGCUCUUAAAAUAAAUUGGUUUUAUGUCUGGCAAUACACUGUUUCAAUAUUUGGGUCAUCAUUUGUAGUAAUGAGAAAGGACAAGCACUAAUAAAAUGUGGUGUACAUCAUAAAUACUGAUUAGCUUUUCGACACAUUAAUAAUAAUGACAUUGCAAUGUUACCUCUAGUGCCAUCACAAGCCUGCUCAUGGUUGUUUUUUCUUCUCCAUCAUCAUACUGUAGGAGAUCAGGGGUGGGAUCUCCCAAAUUCAUUGGUGGCUGCUGCCUACUGGAAUCGAUGGG